rnacentral:lncRNA from 1 species
CCCCUCUCGGAGAAACACCCACGAAUGAUCAAUAAAUACUAAGGGAACUCAGAGGCUGGCGGGAUCCUCCAUAUGCUGAACGCUGGUUCCCCGGGUCCCCUUAUUUCUUUCUCUAUACUUUGUCUCUGUGUCUUUUUCUUUUCCAAGUCUCUCGUUCCACCUUACGAGAAACACCCACAGGUGUGGAGGGGCAACCCACCCCUUCAUCUGGUGCCCAACGUGGAGGCUUUUCUCUAGGGUGAAGGUACUCUCAAGCGUGGUCAUUGAGGACAAGUCGACGAGAGAUCCCGAGUACGUCUACAGUCAGCCUUACGUCUGCAGGUGUACCCAACAGCUCCGAAGAGACAGCGACCAUCGAGAAUGGGCCAUGAUGACGAUGGCGGUUUUGUCGAAAAGAAAAGGGGGAAAUGUGGGGAAAAGCAAGAGAGAUCAGAUUGUUACUGUGUCUGUAUAGAAAGAAGUAGACAUAGGAGACUCCAUUUUGUUCUGUACUAAGAAAAAUUCUUCUGCCUUGAGAUGCUGUUAAUCUAUGACCUUACCCCCAACCCCGUGCUCUCUGAAACAUGUGCUGUGUCAAACUCAGGGUUAAAUGGAUUAAGGGUUGUGCAAGAUGUGCUUUGUUAAACAAAUGCUUGAAGGCAGCAUGCUCUUUAAGAGUCAUCACCACUCCCUAAUCUCAAGUACCCAGGGACACAAACACUGCGGAAGGCCGCAGGGACCUCUGCCUAGGAAAGCCAGGUAUUGUCCAAGGUUUCUCCCCAUGUGAUAGUCUGAAAUAUGGCCUCGUGGGAAGGGAAAGACCUGACCGUCCCCCAGCCCGACACCCAUAAAGGGUCUGUGUGAGGAGGAUUAGUAUAAGAGGAAGGCAUGCCUCUUGCAGUUGAGACAAGAGGAAGGCGUCUGUCUCCUGCCCGUCCCUGGACAAUGGAAUGUCUCGGUAUAAAACCCGAUUGUACGUUCCAUCUACUGAGAUAGGGAAAAACGCCUUAGGGCUGGAGGUGGGACAUGCGGGCAGCAAUACUGCUUUGUAAAGCAUUGAGAUGUUUAUGUGUAUGCAUAUCUAAGAGCACAGCACUUAAUCCUUUACCUCGUCUAUGAUGCAAAGACCUUUGUUCACGUGUUUGUCUGCUGACCCUCUCCCCACUAUUGUCUUGUGACCCUGACACAUCCCCCUCUCGGAGAAACACCCACGAAUGAUCAAUAAAUACUAAGGGAACUCAGAGGCUGGCGGGAUCCUCCAUAUGCUGAACGCUGGUUCCCCGGGUCCCCUUAUUUCUUUCUCUAUA